rnacentral:rRNA from 1 species
AGAGCGAACGCUGGCGGCAGGCUUAACACAUGCAAGUCGAGCGGGCGUAGCAAUACGUCAGCGGCAGACGGGUGAGUAACGCGUGGGAACGUACCUUUUGGUUCGGAACAACACAGGGAAACUUGUGCUAAUACCGGAUAAGCCCUUACGGGGAAAGAUUUAUCGCCAAAAGAUCGGCCCGCGUCUGAUUAGCUAGUUGGUGAGGUAACGGCUCACCAAGGCGACGAUCAGUAGCUGGUCUGAGAGGAUGAUCAGCCACAUUGGGACUGAGACACGGCCCAAACUCCUACGGGAGGCAGCAGUGGGGAAUAUUGGACAAUGGGCGCAAGCCUGAUCCAGCCAUGCCGCGUGAGUGAUGAAGGCCCUAGGGUUGUAAAGCUCUUUUGUGCGGGAAGAUAAUGACGGUACCGCGAAGAAUAAGCCCCGGCUAACUUCGUGCCAGCAGCCGC